AUGCAGACUAGAUCGGCGGGUUAGCCCCUCGUUGUAACCACAAACGGGCUUCAUGGUGGGAUCGAAUCCUGGAGAGAGGUAGGUACAACCUUACAGGCCUCAGUCGUACCUGUGACCCUCUGUCCUGUUUGGCUGAUAUAACAAGAAAUCGGGUCAGGGCAGGAAUGCAGCAGCCCUAACUUAUUAUACUGGCGCUUGCAGGUUAGCAGAGGUUAGGAAAAACUGGGAUUCACCUAUAAGGAGGUAUUUAUCCAUCUCCAGGAGUGUCUGUAU
rnacentral:SRP_RNA from 1 species